rnacentral:rRNA from 1 species
UACGGGGGGAGCAAGCGUGGUUCGGAUUUACUGGGCGUAAAGGGCGCGUAGGCGGCGCAACAAGUCACUUGUGAAAUCUCCGGGCUUAACUCGGAAAGGUCAAGUGAUACUGUUGUGCUAGAGUGCGGAAGGGGCAACUGGAAUUCUCGGUGUAGCGGUGAAAUGCGUAGAUAUCGAGAGGAACACCUGCGGCGAAGGCGGGUUGCUGGGCCGACACUGACGCUGAUGCGCGAAAGCCAGGGGAGCAAACGGG